rnacentral:rRNA from 1 species
AUUGAACGCUGGCGGCAGGCCUAACACAUGCAAGUCGAGCGAGCGGCGGAAGGGUGAGUAAUGUCUGGGAAACGGCCUGAUGGAGGGGGACAACUACUGGAAAAGGUAGCUAAUACCGAAUACCACCAGAUGGGCCCAGAUGGGAUUAGCGAGUGGCGGGGGCAAUGGCACACCUAGGCGCCGAUCCCUAGCUGGUCUGCGAGGAUGCCCGGCCACACUGGAACUGAGACACGGUCCAGACUCCUACGGGAGGCAGCAGUGGGGAAUAUUGCACAAUGGGCGCAAGCCUGAUUCAGCCAUGCCGCGUGUGUGAAGAAGGCCUUCGGGUUGUAAAGCACUUUCAGCGAGGAGGCGGUACUCGCAGAAGAAGCACCGGCUAACUCCGUGCCAGCAGCCGCGGUAAUAC